UCUAUUUCCUGCGACCACAGCCUGCACCGUCAACUUCUCCACAUGCAUCAGAACAUCCCCCAGCAUGCCUUCACUCCCGUCCUGCACCAGUCCUCGAGCAUCCUGCCAAAUCCAGCAAUGAUGGGACCUCAGGACAGAAAUUUUAACACAAACCUGCCCGGACAAACAAUGAGGACCUUCUUUGCACCCAUCACAGCCUCGCACAGAGCAACAAAAAGAUCCUUUAACUCAACAAGACGAGGGAGAUGGGGCGCACUGCAUGUGUGUAUUGCGUGGAAAAUUUACUACCACAAACAACUCAAGGUGAGCGCUAAAUGCAUUUAAUUGUUAUUUUUUUGUUGGGAUUUGUGGUAGUUUUGAAUGUUUCUGCAUGUUUUGGGAGUUCAUAUGUGUGGAAUCAUUGGUGAUCCCAUGCAAACUGUAGGCUCCAGUUCCUGCUCUCAGCUGACAGAAGUGCACCCUGGUGUGGUCUUCUGCUGCUGUUGCCCAUCUACUUUAAUAUUGGACUUGCUGUGUAUUCAGAGAUGCUCUUCAUCACAUCCUCAUACUCUUAUUUUGAGUGUAAUUCAUUUCCUAAAAGAUAAACUGAGUUUUAUUGUUUUUCAGCUCAGAGUUAUGUCACAGUAAUACUGUUAUUGUGAAUUGUAUUGCUCACAGUAUAGUGAAAAGUUCGCAGAGGGAUAUUAUUAAUGGAUCUUACUGAUCUUGUAUUGCACAGCUGAUCUGUCUUAUAAACAACAUGUAAUAUUUAAUUUAUCAGAAACUGCAACAAAUGCACAGCAGUCAACAGGAGCUGACACCUGAGUGUCCUGCUAGCAGUCCCUCUGCCUCUGUGCAACAAAAGGAAAUACACCAGCCGUGUGCACACCCAUGUUCAGGUGGAAGCAAGAGUGUAACUGCAAGCUGUGACAGUUCUGUCUCCGACCUUCAAACGCCUCCACCAGUGUCUACCCACAGCCGUGCAAACUGGGAGAAACUUGACUGUGAGAAGCAGGACCAGCACUCAACACCUGAUGAGAAAGAGAAGCACCAGAUCCGCCAAUCUAGCCCAACAAAGGAUUUAACUCAUAAAGAGAAGUUCAGGGAAUUAAUAGUCACUUCUGACCUUGAUGGCAGACACAGCGGCUCGCUUGACAGGAAGAGGCAGUUUGAGUGUGAAGCCAUCAACAAAGCAAAGAGAAUGAGGCACGAAAUGUUCAACAGUCCGUUUGGUUCUUCUCAGACUUUGCAGUAUUAUCCAUCUCCAUUCAUCACAACUUAUACACAUCCACCAGCACACAACAUGCAAGUGCAACACACUAACAUGAGUGAUUGCUCUUUCCUGUAUCCUAACAGCAUUAGAUUUAAUGCGUCUUAUCCAGGCACCAAGUCGCAUCCCUGCCAAACUUCUUCAUGGGAGACAAUGAGGGACACACACAGUUUCCAUUUAAGGAAACACACCCUUAAAGACUACUCGCUGAAUACCUGCAAGGCAAUCAGGAAACCUCUUGUAACAAGAGGUAUCACGUCACCUCUUUAUUUCCUUCGAGGGAGGGAGACACUUCUGUCUAGAGAAGUGUCAACACCGCUGCAGAUGCCAGCGGCCUCAUACUGGCUUUCUAGCAAUGCAGUAUUGGGACCCUGA
ensembl:lncRNA